ACCUGGCUGGCUCAGUCGGAAGAGCGUGUGACUCUUAAUCUCAGGGUUGUGAGUUCGAGCCCCACAUUGGGUG